rnacentral:rRNA from 1 species
ACGCACGCUGGCGGCGUGCUUAACACAUGCAAGUCGAACGGAAAGGCCCUGCUUGCAGGGUACUCGAGUGGCGAACGGGUGAGUAACACGUGGGUGAUCUGCCUUGCACUUCGGGAUAAGCUUGGGAAACUGGGUCUAAUACCGGAUAGGAACCAUCUUUAGUGUGGUGGUUGGAAAGUUUUUUCGGUGUAGGAUGAGCUCGCGGCCUAUCAGCUUGUUGGUGGGGUAAUGGCCUACCAAGGCGGCGACGGGUAGCCGGCCUGAGAGGGUGUACGGCCACAUUGGGACUGAGAUACGGCCCAGACUCCUACGGGAGGCAGCAGUGGGGAAUAUUGCACAAUGGGCGCAAGCCUGAUGCAGCGACGCCGCGUGGGGGAUGAAGGCCUUCGGGUUGUAAACUCCUUUCGCUAGGGACGAAGCUUUGUUGUGACGGUACCUAGAUAAGAAGCACCGGCUAACUACGUG